UAAGGAAUAUUGGUCAAUGGACGCAAGUCUGAACCAGCCAUGCCGCGUGGAGGAUGAAGGUCCUCUGGAUUGUAAACUUCUUUUAUCUGGGAAGAAACCCAUUUUUUCUAAAGUGGUUGACGGUACCAGAAGAAUAAGCACCGGCUAACUCCGUGCCAGCAGCCGCGGUAAUACGGAGGGUGCAAGCGUUAUCCGGAUUCACUGGGUUUAAAGGGUGCGUAGGUGGAGAGGUAAGUCAGUGGUGAAAUCUCCGGGCUUAACCCGGAAACUGCCAUUGAUACUAUCUUUCUUGAAUACCGUGGAGGUGAGCGGAAUAUGUCAUGUAGCGGUGAAAUGCUUAGAUAUGACAUAGAACACCAAUUGCGAAGGCAGCUCACUACACGAAUAUUGACACUGAGGCACGAAAGCGUGGGGAUCAAACAG
rnacentral:rRNA from 1 species